rnacentral:lncRNA from 1 species
CGAAAUACAAGUUGACGGGGCUUGAACAUCGGAUCACACUAUCCCAACCCCAAGUCUAAACAAAUUUCUCACAAUCCCUUGUGUUAUUCCUGAAGAUAACUCAUCUCAUUUCUCAAAACUGUUCAAGCAAAUGGUGAAUGAAGCUACUAUCUUUAUUCAGAACGGGAAAGAUAUAGUCUUUGACAUGAAUCCAUUUGGGAAAUGCCAACAGCAGGCUAAGUCUGCAAUAAUUAGCUGAAUCCAUUACUGCUUUUCACUAUGAAAACAAAAAAUUGGCACUGUAAAACGUGUCUUGAGGGCUCCAUCGUGUCAAUCUACAGAAAAUGCUGUAUGACCUAUCAAUUAUAGCAUUAAAUGGCAUCGAUGCUGUACCUAUAUCAAAUGGUCCCAGGUGUCAUUCACAGGUUUCAGUUUUGUUUCCCAACCUCAAGACCGGCUUCUAGUAUAUCAUCACCCCCUCCUUUUCCUUCCAAGCGCUACCCAAAUCCAAG